rnacentral:misc_RNA from 1 species
GGAGGAUGUGGAUCGAAAGAGAAAAAGCUGCCAGGUAUGCAAUAAUCAUGUUCUUGCUCUGUGCUUGUAGGAACAUUUGGCAGGUAAAAGAUGGAAUAAAGGANNNUCACAGGAAUUAGCCACAGAGAAAUAUUUCCUGCAACUUCAACAAUACUUUCAUCUUGGCCUAAAGCCCUCAAAAUAUGGGUUGUGAAGAUGAACAAAGGAAGGAGGAGGAUCGCGCAAAUUAUUAACACUAUCCAUGAUCUUUGGAGAUAAAUUCCAAGCAUGUGAUAUUGUUUUGCACCAUAGGAUUGCCCACAUAGAGUUUCUAAUGCACUAGCCAUGCCCAGCAGGAUUCCAUUAGCAAACCUCAAAAGAACAGUGAAGACAAGGGAAUAAGCAGCAAGUUCUGUGGAUCCAAUGUGGCCAACAAAAGCUUGACUAAUUACAUUAAUCCCAAAGGUAGAAAACCUAGUGAAAAUAGCAGGGCCAGCAACAAUCCACAUCUUCUUGGUUUCUGUCCAUAGCUUGUCCUUGAACUUCACUUCCUCAACUUCAGAAUUCUCCGCUUCUGUCAAAAGUUUUUCGUUGAUCUCUC